CCUAAUGUGGGAGCUGGCUUGCCUGCGAUAGUGGCAGUGAAUUCACUCCAGUUAUCGCAGGCAAGCCAGCUCCCACAUUAAA
rnacentral:antisense_RNA from 1 species